UACAAAUCAGAAUGAGGCAAAAUCUCUUACCUUUUGCAGGCCUUGAUUUUAUGGAAUCCACCUGCCACCAAGUACCUGGUGAAGUUUGAGGAGAAACUUCUGCAAAUACUUUGGGGAAAAGUUAAGCUUCUAAGAUUUCCUGAGCAGCUGCCACAGCACAGGAAGGCUUAAACUGGCCACGUG
rnacentral:lncRNA from 1 species